UUGAUGCGUCUUAUUUCAAGAGCAAUUCACUAAGGAUUUUGUGUAAACAUUGAUCUGUUCAAUAAAGCGCUUAUUGAAAACUAAUCAGAUGAUUUCGUUUAUUCAUUGACCCAUACCAAUCCAAUUAAGCUUAAUUUAUCGACGAAAUAAUCUCACCUUUAUCAAUCAUAUUUAGUCAUUUUCAGUCUAGUCAAUGAUUGAAUCUGUUGCUUUUUUCACAUAGGAUUUACCGAGACUGUUCAUCUUAUAUGCGUUAAUAUUUUCUCCCAACUAUUAACUAUACUAACACUUAACAUUUAUUUCAACUUUAAUUUAUCCAUAAAAAUUUAUAACUUCAUCUAAAUCUGAAUCGCAUUGGAACCGAAAGGGUAAGUUGAGUUCAAAAAUGAUAGUCUCAACAGUUUCAUUCUUAACAUGAUACAGUUUUGGUUAUUUCCUCGUUUCGCCUUUUAAUUUAAUAUUUUUCGUUGAUCAUUGUUGAUCCUCAUUUAAUGCAAUUCAGUUUGGACUUAUCUCUUGAUUUACAUUACCAUGAAUUGGUUGCCAAAAUUUACUGACUUAAUCACUGUCAUCACAAUUUUGUUUACAGGGUUGGUUAAUUUUUAGCUUUGGCAAUCAACAUUAUUAAUGUGCAUUUUCAUAACCAGAGUUUAGUGUACAUGAAUUAAAUGAUUGUUGACAAUAC